rnacentral:tRNA from 1 species
GGGGCGUAGCUCAGUUGGGAGAGCGCCACGUUCGCAACGUGGAUGUCGUGGGUUCAAGUCCCAUCGUCUCC